rnacentral:rRNA from 1 species
GCAGGCUGAAAUUCGCCUGUAUGAAGCCGGAAUUGCUAGUAAUGGCAGGUCAGCAUACUGCCGUGAAUACGUUCCCGGGCCUUGUACACACCGCCCGUCACACCAUGAGAGUUGGGGAUACCCAAAGCCCGUGAGCCAACUUUUAGAGGCAGCGGUCUAAGGUAGAAUCAAUGAUUGGGGUGAAGUCGUAACAAGGUACC